UUAGAAAAAAAUGCAUUGCAGGUGUAACAGUUGUGUCACAUGUGUGUCAGUACGUGGCCAAGAGGAGAGAGGCUAUGUUUAUGCUAAGUGAUCUUACCUACCAACAUCUGAAUCGGUAGCCUAAUUCU